AGACAGGAAAGUUUAUUUUCCAAGAAUUAUCUAAACACAUGGAGAAUAUUUUUAGCCCCUUGAUCCCACCCAAAUGCCAAACCUAAACGGAGCCAGAGAGGUGACCCAACAGAGGUACAAAGCAAUGAAGAAAGACUGAGCAGG